rnacentral:lncRNA from 1 species
AUGGCGAACACUUGGUGCCAGCCCACUCAGCCAAGACAAACCCUGCCUUCAGGCCUGGUGGUCCAGGCUGGAUUCUGGGCUCUCCCCAGAAGAGGUUGGGUUUCUCUCACUGGUUCCAGAAUGCCUCCAACUCUAAGAGAUACUGGGGCUGGGCAGAGGCCCCAGAAUGGGCUGAGGGCCCUGCCCCCCGUCCAUGAGGUGCAGGUCCACAGCAGGGUGCACAGGCCAGGCUGGGCUCGGGGCAGCUCCACGGCCUCUCGCCACGGACGUCCAGCUCUGCAUGGUGGUCUUGCUCUGCGAGUGCUCCAAACACUGGAACUCGUCAACCUUCAGAUCGGGUGUUCCUUGAAGCUACUGUCCCAUCUCUGGUCCUCCUUCCUCUGGCACUUCUGGAACGAUAGUGUGUCUGGGGGCGCGAUGCAGUCCAGCUACCCCAGCUCACCAGGUCCAGCUCCUCCCAAAUACUCGAUCGCCUCUUCCCAGAUUAGCUCUUCGUAGAGAAGUGGGUCUCAGGCCAAGACCUUACAUUUUGGAUCUUGAAAUGCCACAGUCUGACUCCUGUUCUCUGAGCUCUGUGGUGUCAUCCGUUCUCUGAGGCAGGAAGCAGGGGAUGCUGGAGGGACCAUGGGGUCCAGGGAUCUAUGAAGAAAACAAGGCUUAGUCAAACUGCAGAAAAUCGUGGGCAAAGAACACUGGGGGAAUGUUUGCUUAAAUUUUAGUGGACUUGUUUUUAGGUGGUGGGGAUCUGGUUUUCUUUGUCUUUUACUUAAAAAAAUUUUUUUCAACAUUGAACAUGAAUUACUUUUAUAAUUAGGAGGAAAAAAACCCCCACACCAAUGAAUUAUAAAAAAGACCCACUGUGUUUCAUUCUUCAGUGCGUCUGGUUUGGACCUGAUUGCAGCGUGUGCAUUCAGAAAUGCCCAUCCAAUCUUUCGUUUCAUCUUCGUAAAGACCCAAGUUGAAGAACUGAUUCCAAAUCUGAUCAUUCAUCUCCCUCUGGCCACCAGUCAGCGUAUACCUACUUCCGGGGACUCGGAAUGCAGCAACCGGCAAG